GGGUGUGGGCAGGGGGCGGAGCUAAGCCCCGUGGCACCGACGCGAUGCGCAACGCAGGGCAGAAGGGCGCAAUCUUUGGUCACGUUUAGCUCCGAUUACGAAAGUGGAGUAACUGCUAUAGCAGCACAUCACCAUCUUCCAAGGCUACAUUCUCUGUCGUAUUCCAAGCCAACGUCUACUGCUUCCUGAAUUCAAUCCAGUGAUGGAAAGCAAAUAGGAAACACACCACGUUUAGGAAGCAAACGCGGCGUUGGAGAAAUCUGACAAGGCACAUUUACCAAGCUAGAAAUAGAAGUCAGAAUCUACAGCGUUCAGUUGCUGGCGUCUGUUCUUGGGUUUUAUUAAUGAUAGACCAAAACCGAAACAGUUGUUCACGUUCCCGUAUUGGAAAUGAAUUCCAUCUGCAUCGUUAUGAUAGCGUGUAGUAAACUGAACCAAAUGAGGAAAAUCUCGUGAGCAAAGGUGGUGACAAAUCUUUCCCCGAUUGCCAGGGUAAUCAGGGACAGGAACAUCAAAUGAAACAAAUGAACGUGCCGUAAAUAAAUCUGUCCAGAACUACUUGAAGUCUCUAGGAAGCACCACAAAAGAAAGGACAUAUUGAUGCUGCCACCACGGAGGAGCCCAGUUUGUCUUGAAAAUAAAUGAGCAAAUGAACAGUAAUCUAAGCUUAGGCACAAAGUCCAAAGUUUUCAAGUGCAAAAAAUGUAUCAAAGCCCAUCUGGGAAUAGCUCUCCAGAAUAGCUAACCUAGCAUUCGCAGAAGAUUGAAUACACAAGAAGAAUGUAUCUUAAGCCGUGAAAAACCUCGGAGGAUGGGAUGGGAGUGCUUAAAUAGUUUGAAAAGUACAUUCUAAAUUUACCUUUCCUUUGAUUUCUUUUUAUUCACAAAAUUUAUUUUGAAAUUUCAAUCAUCAUUAAAGGAAAAUACAACGAUUGUAUGUUUACCAAAAGAGGGCUUAAGGUUAAAAAAAAAAAAAAAAAGGUAAGGUUAACAAUUACUCCAUAGGAUGGUGUCUCACACAUGUUUAGUUGUGAACCAACAACCCGAAGCUGUCACAACUUCCAGUAUCUUUGCUUGCCUGGGAACUGUUAUCCAUGGGCAAAUUAGCCUUGGCUGAACUGGCUUCUCCACGGCUAGACAGACAUUUCUCUUACCGGAAAGUAUUUGGGAAUCCCAGUGUACAAACAGCAAUUAGCAAGUAUAACAUGCUGAGGAAGUUCUCAGUCACUUCCAUAUGGGACAAUGGUUGCCCCUUCACCAUGAAUUCAAUGGGAAGCCUGAAUUGGAUGUAUUCCAGUUUUCAAGUCCAUUUAAGUCAUCACCUUUGGGAUCAACCGUUUUUGUCUUCUCAGUAUGGCUUCAAAUAUCAUAUAGAUAUAGGUCUUAAACUCUAUAAGAAUUUAAAUAUCUGGCAGUCUAAGAAUACAUGAAACAUCUUUGGAAUAAUACCCCUAUUACUAUUUUAGAGCAUUAAAUUCAUAAUGACUCAGAGUCCUCCUGAAUCGUCUAUUCCUCAUUAAAUAGUGCACUAUUUAAGUGGCUUCUGCUUUGGUAUUUAUGAAUACGUUUCUUCCAGCAGUUCAAAGAUCCUUACAAACAUCAUCACACUCUUUUCAGAACAACUGAAUAUCAGCAAGUUUUACUUUUGUUGUUAAAUAGAGAAAUGAAAACGCAGGUGAGAACAUCUCAUGGCAGUAAUAGAGCUAAACUAUGGGGGAGAAGUUGCCCAAUUUUCCAUCCUGUACAUUUUUGCCUUUCCCAAAGCCACAAUGAAAUGAAAACUGAAAAUGAUUAAGAGAACAGUGUUCAUUGUUUGUGCUUGCUCUCUCACUCGUGUGCAAUCCCUCUCUAAGGUUUUAUAUGUAUAUAUAUAUAUAUAUAUAUGUAUACACGUAUAUAUGUGUGUAUAUAUAUAUAUAUAUAAAGAGAACUUUAUAUAAAGUUCUCUUAAGGUAUUAGCAAAGAGAAAGUAUAUAUACAUGUAUGUUGAGUAUAUGUAUACUCAAGUAUAUUUCUCUAGCUACUAAGAAGUUUUUAUGAGUCUCAGAAGUAUGAAGUCCUUGAAUAUUACUUCGACGCACUUGAAUCACUAAUAAUAUUCACCUUUGGACAGAUUAUCUCAUAGGUUUGGCAAGGAUAAAAAUUUUAAAAAAGUUACCAGUACCCAUGGUAACAAAGUAUAACCAUCUUCUCCAUAGUUAAACACGUUAAACUUUACUUUAUAAAGGUGCUCUGUGAUUUUGAA